ensembl:lncRNA
GACUGCAAUUAUUUUCCUUUAUCUCACACUUACGUUUAAACUGCAUCUCUGCUGGUAUAUGCCCUGUUUUGAUUAAUAUUAAACUUCCAGAUCAUCUUUUUGAAUUGGAGCAAUUUCUUAUGACAAAUAGUCCAGAGAGCCAGAUUUCUGAGUGAUUAGUAGCAGGCUGAGAGAAGUGGAUGCUUGGGGAGCUUAACGAUUCGUGGCUAGAUUCAUUCACCAUGGUUGGCUGCCUCGCUGUGAAGGGGGGAGGAGAUGCAGACUGAAGAAAUACUGAAGAAAACUCUGGCUAUGAGGACCUGCUGGGCUAAAAAAAUGCAAGCAUGGCUCUUCAGAUACAGCUGAGAAGAAUCCUCAUGCAAGCUGGAAGGUAGCCCUUUGCUUAACCCCAGAUACAUCUGAUGCUAGCCUUGUUGUUCAGAGAUGAAAUCCUUCCACUAUUAGAAUGGGAGCUCCUAUGGGACCUACACAAGCCUUGCAAACAGAAGAGACAAGUGGCUCUGAUCGCUAGAUUGCUGAUCCAACCACGGCUCAGCAGCACUUCUUUUAUAACUUCAUGUGUCUGCUUUUAUCUUUGCCACUGCAUGCAUUUGAAAAAUCACGUUUGUUUGUUUGUUAUCAGUAUGCUCAUUUUUCUUUUAAAAUUAAUAUGUUUAAAAAACUGGCUUUGCAUUCUCGCUGGGAAAAUAAAGUACAAGUACAGAGCU